UGGGGAAUUUUGGACAAUGGGCGCAAGCCUGAUCCAGCCAUGCCGCGUGUCUGAAGAAGGCCUUCGGGUUGUAAAGGACUUUUGUCAGGGAAGAAAAGGGCGGGGUUAAUACCCCUGUCUGAUGACGGUACAUGAAGAAUAAGCACCGGCUAACUACGUGCCAGCAGCCGCGGUAAUACGUAGGGUGCGAGCGUUAAUCGGAAUUACUGGGCGUAAAGCGGGCGCAGACGGUUACUUAAGCAGGAUGUGAAAUCCCCGGGCUCAACCUGGGAACUGCGUUCUGAACUGGGUGACUAGAGUGUGUCAGAGGGAGGUAGAAUUCCACGUGUAGCAGUGAAAUGCGUAGAGAUGUGGAGGAAUACCGAUGGCGAAGGCAGCCUCCUAGGAUAACACUGACGUUCAUGCCCGAAAGCGUGGGUAGCAAACA
rnacentral:rRNA from 1 species